rnacentral:lncRNA from 1 species
AGAGCAUACAGAACUUAAAACCAGGAUAUAAUCCCUGAAAUUUGAUGGUUCCAGCACUGUGCCAAAUAGCCUGAAAGGCACUUCUGAGAAAAGAAGCAAUCCAUAAAAACAGAUGAAUCUCAUAUCAGAAAGAGGAAAAUCACCAGCCUAGUUUCAAUUGUCUCUGUACAUAAAAUACGAGCCAUGGCUGCUGUUAGAACAAACCAGUGGAAGCUCCCCAGAGCAGUGGACCAGCUCUGCGUCUGA